UCCGAUGUGGUGUAGUGGCUAUCAUACUGCGCUUUCAUGGAUUCCGUGGAAGCCCCGCAGGGAUCGGGGUUCGAUUCCCCGCAUCGGAG
rnacentral:tRNA from 1 species